rnacentral:rRNA from 1 species
AUUGAACGCUGGCGGCAGGCUUAACACAUGCAAGUCGAACGAGUGGCGGACGGGUGAGUAAUGCUUGGGAAUCUAGCUUAUGGAGGGGGAUAACUACGGGAAACUGUAGCUAAUACCGCGUACCAUGGGAUGAACCCAUAUGGGAUUAGCUGGUAGGUGAGGUAACGGCUCACCUAGCCGACGAUCCCUAGCUGGGCUGAGAGGAUGAUCAGCCACACUGGGACUGAGAGACUGCCCAGACUCCUACGGGAGGCAGCAGUGGGGAAUAUGGCGAAAUGGGAGAAAGCAUGAUGCAGCCAUGCCGCGUGGAUGAAGAAGGCCUUCGGGUUGUAAAGUUCUUUCAGUCUGGAGGCGUUACCGACAGAAGAAGCACCGGCUAACUCCGUGCCAGCAGCCGCGGUAAUAC